rnacentral:lncRNA from 1 species
GGUACAAAAAGGAAAGAAAAUGAACCAAAUGUCAAAGCCCAGCCCAAAACACAAAAGCGCAGGUGCCGUGCAUGUGACGGACGUCACAGAGGGCGUGACGAGCGUCACGCCUUGCACACUCCUGUGACGGACGUCACACAUGGUGUGACGAACGUCACACCAUUCCCCUACAUUUUUGGCGCAAGGAACGCCUCAGAGAC